rnacentral:rRNA from 1 species
UACGUAGGGUGCGAGCGUUGUCCGGAAUUAUUGGGCGUAAAGAGCUCGUAGGCGGCCUGUCGCGUCGGUUGUGAAAGCCCGGGGCUUAACCCCGGGUCUGCAGUCGAUACGGGCAGGCUAGAGUUCGGUAGGGGAGAUCGGAAUUCCUGGUGUAGCGGUGAAAUGCGCAGAUAUCAGGAGGAACACCGGUGGCGAAGGCGGGUCUCUGGGCCGAUACUGACGCUGAGGAGCGAAAGCGUGGGGAGCGAACAGG